GACGAACGCUGGCGGCGUGCUUAACACAUGCAAGUCGAACGGUGAAGCUCCAGCUUGCUGGAGUGGAUCAGUGGCGAACGGGUGAGUAACACGUGAGCAACCUGCCCCUGACUCUGGAAUAAGCGCUGGAAACGGCGUCUAAUACUGGAUACGAGAAGGGCCCGCAUGGGCACUUUCUGGAAAGUUUUUCGGUUGGGGAUGGGCUCGCGGCCUAUCAGCUUGCUGGUGAGGUAAUGGCUCACCAAGGCGACGACGGGUAGCCGGCCUGAGAGGGCGACCGGCCACACUGGUACUGAGACACGGCCCAGACUCCUACGGGAGGCAGCGGUGGGGAGUAUUGCACAAUGGGCGAAAGCCUGAUGCAGCGACGCCGCGUGAGUGAUGACGGCCUUCGGGUUGUAAACCUCUUUCAGCAGGGAAGAAGCGAAAGUGACGGUACCUGCAGAAGAAGCACCGGCUAACUACGUG
rnacentral:rRNA from 1 species